AUAUUACUCCCUACGUCCCAUAUUAAGUGACUCAAAUUUGCUCAAAUAUGGAUGUAUCUAUGCCUAAAAAGUGUCUAGAUACAUGUAAUAGAAAGUCAUUUAAUAUGGGACGGAGGGAGUAUCUU
rnacentral:pre_miRNA from 1 species